rnacentral:rRNA from 1 species
GUUAUCUGAUCCUCUUUUAGAGGUGACGAUAAUGGAAUGAGCGGCGGACGGGUGAGUAACACGUAGGCAACCUGCCUGUAAGACUGGGAUAACUCGUGGAAACGCGAGCUAAUACCGGAUAACACUUUUCUAUCUCCGGAUGAGAAGUUGAAAGGCGGCUUUUGCUGUCACUUACAGAUGGGCCUGCGGCGCAUUAGCUAGUUGGUAAGGUAAUGGCUUACCAAGGCGACGAUGCGUAGCCGACCUGAGAGGGUGAUCGGCCACACUGGGACUGAGACACGGCCCAGACUCCUACGGGAGGCAGCAGUAGGGAAUCUUCCGCAAUGGACGAAAGUCUGACGGAGCAACGCCGCGUGAGUGAUGAAGGUUUUCGGAUCGUAAAACUCUGUUGUUAGGGAAGAACAAGUGCCAUAGUAACUGAUGGCACCUUGACGGUACCUAACCAGAAAGCCACGGCUAACUACGUGCCAGCAGCCGCGGUAAUACGUAGGUGGCAAGCGUUGUCCGGAAUUAUUGGGCGUAAAGCGCUCGCAGGCGGUUCUUUAAGUCUGAUGUGAAAUCUUACGGCUCAACCGUAAACGUGCAUUGGAAACUGGGGAACUUGAGUGCAGAAGAGGAGAGUGGAAUUCCACGUGUAGCGGUGAAAUGCGUAGAGAUGUGGAGGAACACCAGUGGCGAAGGCGACUCUCUGGUCUGUAACUGACGCUGAGGAGCGAAAGCGUGGGGAGCGAACAGGAUUAGAUACCCUGGUAGUCCACGCCGUAAACGAUGAGUGCUAGGUGUUAGGGGGUUUCCGCCCCUUAGUGCUGAAGUUAACGCAUUAAGCACUCCGCCUGGGGAGUACGGCCGCAAGGCUGAAACUCAAAAGAAUUGACGGGGGCCCGCACAAGCGGUGGAGCAUGUGGUUUAAUUCGAAGCAACGCGAAGAACCUUACCAGGUCUUGACAUCCUCUGAACACUCUAGAGAUAGAGUUUUCCCUUCGGGGACAGAGUGACAGGUGGUGCAUGGUUGUCGUCAGCUCGUGUCGUGAGAUGUUGGGUUAAGUCCCGCAACGAGCGCAACCCUUGAUCUUAGUUGCCAGCAUUCAGUUGGGCACUCUAAGGUGACUGCCGGUGACAAACCGGAAGGAAGGUGGGGACGACGUCAAAUCAUCAUGCCCCUUAUGACCUGGGCUACACACCGUGCUACAAUGGAUGGAACAAAGGGAAGCGAACCCGCGAGGUCAAGCAAAUCCCACAAAACCAUUCUCAGUUCGGAUUGUAGGCUGCAACUCGCCUACAUGAAGCCGGAA